rnacentral:piRNA from 1 species
CUCCACAUUCAGCAAGUCACAUGAUCUCC